GUGGGGAAUCUUGCGCAAUGGGCGAAAGCCUGACGCAGCCAUGCCGCGUGAAUGAUGAAGGUCUUAGGAUUGUAAAAUUCUUUCACCGGGGACGAUAAUGACGGUACCCGGAGAAGAAGCCCCGGCUAACUUCGUGCCAGCAGCCGCGGUAAUACGAAGGGGGCUAGCGUUGCUCGGAAUUACUGGGCGUAAAGGGCGCGUAGGCGGACAGUUUAGUCAGAGGUGAAAGCCCAGGGCUCAACCUUGGAAUUGCCUUUGAUACUGGCUGUCUUGAGUACGGGAGAGGUGAGUGGAACUCCGAGUGUAGAGGUGAAAUUCGUAGAUAUUCGGAAGAACACCAGUGGCGAAGGCGACUCACUGGCCCGUUACUGAAGCUGAGGCGCGAAAGCGUGGGGAGCAAACAGGAUUAGAAACCCUGGUAGUCC
rnacentral:rRNA from 1 species